rnacentral:rRNA from 1 species
AGUAACGCGUGGUCAACCGACCGUUGAGUGGGGGAGUAACUAGCCGAAAGGCUAGCUAAUACCGCAUACGUCUCCGAGGGGCAUCCUUCGGCGAUAAAAGGAGCAAUCCGCUCGAUGACGGGACCGCGUCCCAUUAGCUAGAUGGUGGGGUAACGGCCUACCAUGGCACCGAUGGGUAGCUGGUUUGAGAGAGCGACCAGCCACACUGGGACUGAGACACGGCCCAG